rnacentral:misc_RNA from 1 species
GAUGAAGAACGUAGCGAAAUGCGAUAAGUAGUGUGAAUUGCAGAAUUCAGUGAAUCAUCGAAUCUUUGAACGCACAUUGCGCCCCUUGGUAUCCCGAGGGGCAUGCCUGUUCGAGCGUCAUUUCACCACUCAAGCCUGGCUUGGUGUUGGGCGACGUCCUCUUUGGGGACGCGCCUCGAAGCGCUCGGCGGCGUGGCACCGGCUUUAAGCGUAGCAGAAUCUUUCGCUUUGGAAGUCGGGGCCCCGUCUGCCGGAAGACCUGCUCGCAAGGUUGACCUCGGAUCAGGCAGGGAUACCCGCUGAACUUAAGCAUAUCAAUAAGCGGAGGA